rnacentral:lncRNA from 1 species
CUCUGGGCCAUGCCCAGGUAGAGUCGUGCACAGGUCCUACCCUCCAGCAGCUCAGAAUGUGCUUAGGCCGACGCGAAAACAAGUAAGUACAAUGUGAAUAUUGAUGCGUACCAGUCACCAUGAAAACACAGAACGGGGAACACCUGCUGCCGCCCACCUGAACUGAGCCUUCGUGAACAUGAGUUCAACAAGCAAACCAUGGGAUGGGGGGCAAGAAAUGGCAUUUCCAGCAGAUAUAAACGAACACAGGUACAUUUUAAAACAAAGCAAAUGCACCAAUGCACAAUGUCCUCAGGAAACAGGGGCGUGAUAAGCGGGUGGUGUGGCCAGAUGGUAAAACAGGGGCGGGGCUGGAAAGUUAAGGCCGGACGCUGAGUGUCCUUUACUACUAAGCUUAAGAGUUCAUACUACAGGCACCUGGGGGCCACCAAGAGGUUUUACUGGUCUGGCUGGUUGUUAUUGCUGCUGUUGUUGUUGCUUCGAGUAAGCGGAAGAGAUGAUAGCAGUGUGGAGGACGACUGUGACGGGGUAGAAAGGUGGGUAGUGGAGGCCGGGAGAGCAGCCGAAAGUCUCUCCCUGCACUUAGGCACAAAACCCCGGUUCUGAAUGAAGCAACUGCAGGAGAAGAGGAAGAAGGGCGCCACUGUAUGCCUGGGCUGCCAUCAGCAGCAUUGACUCAUUGCUAAAAGAGGGGAAAGCUCAGGACUCUAAAUCCUGAAUCCUUCAGACAGUCCUGCCAUUUCCCAAACAUUGCACCAACAUCAUGAAAUACUUUAAAAUCAAUAAAAAUGCAUGUGGCAGAAGGCAAUUAUUCAUACAUUAUCUGAAAACAAUAAAGGAAGAUAUACCUUCCAUUCAAUUUUCAGGAUUAUAUAUAUUACAGAGUCAACACCACAUAGAUGUCAUCAAGACUUACUGCUUGAGCCCUCUGGAGUGGUGGCACAAGCCAUACCCGGACCCAUCUGAGCCACGGCUGGGACAGCUGAGGAGUGCUGUGCCUGAAUGCAGGGAGCAGAGUCCCAAGCAUCUCUGAGCAGUGAAUGUUGAAGUCCCACGGCAACCUUCCUGGAAACCUUCUCUGGAAGGCCCUGUUCUGGGCCUGUGAUGGGAGGGGCAACCUGCUGAGCCCAUCAAAUGCCUUUGAUGUCUUUUCCCCAUUGUCUUGAUGAAUGGCACCUGGCUCCCUUCUAUCCAUGCUAAUCUCUUUAGCAAACAGUCUCUUGGCCACACUCUUAGUUUACUCUCCUAAACAUGCCUUUUCACUCUUUACAUGACCAAGGCUGCUCAUUUCCCAUAUAUUUUGUUCUGCUUCCCUUUUAAUUAUAAAUGCCAUCUUUAAAUCAUUUCUCUUCAUUCACAUCUUACUAUAUGUGGUUAAAAGUAGCUAUGCAGUUCCUCCAGUAUUUUGCUUAGAAAUUUCUUCCACCAGAUAUCCAAGUUCCUUGCUCUUAAAUUCUACCUCCCAUAAAGCCCUCAGUUGUGGACAUGAUUCAGCCAAGAAUUUAUAAUAGUUCUUUGUGAAUUUAUAACAAAGAUGGCCUUUACUCCAGUUUCCAUUACUUUGUUUCUCAUUUCCAUCUGAGAUCUCAUCAGAUUAGCCUUUACCAUAUCAGAAAUGUUCAUAUUUCUACCAGUAUUUUGAUUAGGACCACUUAAGUAAUCUCUAAGAAGCUUCAGACUUUCUCUACAAGUCUCUCCAGAAUCAUGCUUAAUGGUCUGUUCACAGCAAUAUAGGCUGUUGCUUGCCUGCUCCUCCACAUUUUCCCAGCAUCUAGCCAUUACCCAGUUCCAAAGGUGCUUCCACAUUUUCAGGUAUUUAUUAUAGCAACAGACCUACUUCUCAGUGCCAAUCUUCUUUCUUGGCUCAUUUUUUGUGGCUAUAACAGAAAAAUACAGACUGGGUAAUUUAUAAUGAACAGAAAUUUAUUUGGCUGGUGGUUCUGCAGGCCAGGAGUCCAAGAGCAUGGCAUCUGAUGAGGACUUUUGUGCAGCAUCAUCCCAUGGCAGAGGUGAAAGGGCAAGAAGUAUUGAGAGCAAAAGAUCAAGAGGGGGCCAAAGGUUUUGUAACGAAGUCACUCUUAUGAUAACUAACCCACUCCUGGAAUAACAACAUUAAUCCAGUCACGAAAGCAGUCCUUGUGACUUAAUCAACUCUUAUGACACCCUACCUCCCAAAACUGUUGCACUGGGGGUUGACAACACAUAAACUUUGGGGAAUACUUUCAAACAAUAGCAAUAUAAAUACAUAAAUUCUAACACAAAUAUGAUUUUAGAAAUAACACAAUACCCCAACUGAAAUAAAAACGUAAAAAGAAAUUUAUAGUAUAAUGUGCAUAGAAAUGUACAUUAUACACAUUUAGCACAGAAAUGCUCAGAAAAGCCAGCACUGGAGGUUGUAAUGCAGGAGUCAGGUGCUUGCUGCUGUCCUUAGAAUCUUCAAGAACAUGACAGCCACAGAGGCAGACGGACAGGGCUGGGCUCCACUGGUAAGUUAACCACCACAGGUGACUUUCUAACUCCAGUGAAGUUCCAAGCAAAAGGAUUUACACAAUGGUUUCUUUCCUGGAAAAUUUAGGGUACAUCACAACUAUUGGAAUACAGGUUUACCCACAUGAAAGUCCCACAGUACACUUAAAAAAUUAUUCAAUGGGCAAUACUGCCCCAUGAAUGCAGGAUAUAGAGUGUUCCCAGGCCAUGCCUACUAAAUGCAAGCAAAGCCCCCAAGUCUUUGUCACAAUCAAAACUGCCCCUCCAAAUUCCAUAAUAUAGCACCCCCCAGGGAGAAUCACCCCUAGAGGAAGCAGUGAGAAUUGCCUCACUAAACUAUGAGAUCCAAAAAGAAAAUCAAAGAAUGAAGCCUUUUAUUCAGGGCUCUGUCACCUGCCAAUCAAACAGCUCAGGGCCCACCCCAGGCCAUUGCCCAGGGGAGAUUUCACCAGGUCUUAGAACACAAGCAAAGAUUCAUCUUAGCAAAUCCAUCUCAGAACAGAACACAUGGAUAUAGGGAGGGGAACAUAACACACCCGGGCCUGUUGAGGGGUUGGGGGAAGGGGAGGGAGAGCAUUAGGAAAAAUACCUAAUGCAUGCAGGGCUUAAAACCUAGAUGACGGGUUGAUAGGUGCAGCAAAGCACCACGGCACAUGUAUACCUAUGUAACACACCUGCACAUUCUGCACAUGUAUCCCAGAACUUAGAGCAAAAUAAAAAUAAAAACUCCAUCUCAGAACAAAA